rnacentral:rRNA from 1 species
CCCUUAGAUGUUCUGGGCCGCACGCGUGCUACACUGAUGAAUUCAACGAGCACUAACCUGUGCCGAAAGGUUCGGGUAAUCUUGUGAAAUUUCAUCGUGAUGGGGAUUGAUUAUUGCAAUUUUUAAUCAUAAACGAGGAAUGCCUAGUAAGCGUGAGUCAUCAGCUCACGUUGAUUACGUCCCUGCUCUUUGUACACACCGCCCGUCGCUCCUACCGAUUGAAUGUGCCAGUGAAAAGUUAGGAUUGGGCGUGGGAGACGGCAACGUAUUCCACAUCCGAGAAAAUCUUUAAACUUUCCCAUUUAGAGGAAGGAGAAGUCGUAACA